AAGCAAGAAUGCGAAUCUGGAAGACGUAAAGUCUAAAGUAUUUAAACUUUACGUUUUCUUCCCGUUAUUUUCGCUAAAGGAUUAGGCGAGAUGCGUGUGCAGCGCUUGUCAUAAUAAUGGCGUUGUUCCUUAUUUUACUUGCUACAUAU